ACUCAACGCCGGGAAACUCACCAGAUAAGACAGCUGAAUGAUAGUCGGGCUGAAGACUCUACUUGACUAGCUGAGAGGAGGUGCAUGGCCGUCGUCAGUUCGUACUGUGAAGCAUCCUGUUAAGUCAGGCAACGAGCGAGACCCACGCCCACAGUUGCCAGCGUACUCUCCGGAGUGACGGGUACACUGUGGGACCGCCGCUGCUAAAGCGGAGGAAGGAAUGGGCAACGGUAGGUCAGUAUGCCCCGAAUAUCCCGGGCUACACGCGAGCUACAAUGGUUGGUACAAUGGGUAUCUACCCCGAAAGGGGACGGGAAUCUCCUAAAACCAAUCUUAGUUCGGAUUGAGGGCUGCAACUCGCCCUCAUGAAGCUGGAAUCCGUAGUAAUCGCGUUUCAACAGAACGCGGUGAAUACGUCCCUGCUCCUU
rnacentral:rRNA from 1 species